UUUGUCUUGUGGUUAAGUCCUUGAUCUUUGAUUAUGUCAAAGUCACCCCAUCCACGGGUGUCCACGGCAUCGUUGGGGUUAAGCCACUUAGCUAUGAAGGCAAGUGAAUGCGCAACAAGGGAUCUCUAACCUUCAAACCGUUUGAGGGAGAAUACUCUAUGAUAUGAUUUAGAACCUCUGAUCAGAGUAUGAAUGAGAUUUAGGAAGUUGUUCCAAAUCACAUUCAAGGUAAUCAUAUAAGCACACGAAUCACAUUGGAUAGUAGACAUGAAUAAAUAAACUAUCAAACCAAACAAUGUGAUCAAGAGUAUUGUAUUAGAGAAAGACCGUAUUGCAUUUGUAAUCCUAAAAACUGAAUAGGUUCUCUACCUCUUCUGAUUAGCUUGGGUAACCAUGAUAUGCUG
rnacentral:lncRNA from 1 species